GAACCGUGCGAACGUUGUUCGGAAUCACUGGGCUUAAAGGGCGCGUAGGCGGCUUGCCAAGUCAGAGGUGAAAUCUUUCGGCUCAACCGAAAAACGUGCCUUUGAUACUGGCAGGCUUGAGGGAGGUAGGGGCAUGUGGAACUGGUGGUGGAGCGGUGAAAUGCGUUGAUAUCACUAGGAACGCCGGUGGCGAAAGCGACGUGCUGGCCCUCUUCUGACGCUGAGGCGCGAAAGCCAGGGUAGCGAACGGGGGAUUAGAUACCCCGGUAGUCCUGGCCCUAAACGAUGGGUACUAGGUAGUGGACUUAACAUGGGUUCACUGCCGAAACCAAAAGUGUUAAGUACCCCCGCCUGGGAGUAUGGUCGCAAGGCUG
rnacentral:rRNA from 1 species